ACUAAAGGUGAGUUUUAACACUUUACAUUCACACCUUUAGUUCAUGCAGAUUGGUUUCCUCAGUGCCCCAUUUAGGAAGGCCUGGAGCUGUGGAUUUCAGGCAUCUUGCAGCUGCACAAAGGAGGUGUUACAGGCACGGAAUUUCAUCUUCUCCACCCAGGACCAAGAAUAUCCCUAGGUGGCUUCGGGAAGAGCUUAUACCAGUAGGGAAAAAUAAUACGAAUAAUAAUAAUAAAGAAAAAUGCUUUGGGGGGGAGGGGUCUAGGGGUGUUGAGGGAAUGGGGAAGACAUGAAACCCACCCCUUUCCAAGUAGCUCUCGCUCGUGUGGGCUUACAGGAGAGGAGCGCGGGUCAGGCGGCGGUAGGUGGCGCCCGGCCCCGAAGCAUCUCAAAGCUCCGCUCUCUUCGGCAGCUCUCGGCACCUGGUAGCUCCGUGGGACGCGAUGCCGACAGUGGUGCGGGACAGACCGGGGUACGCCCAGUCCCCAACAGUCCUUUUCCUUUACUUGUUUUUUCACACGUCAUAGACGCUGGGGAAAGCGCCCAAGUCAGCAGCAGAACAGUCUGGUGACGCGGAAAGGAGGAAAGCAGCUCAGCAGCCUCUGUCCUGGAAAUAGAAAGAGCAUUUCUGAAAGGGCUGAGUCAAAAUGAGCAUUGAUCAGUAUGUGUUAUGGGAUUAAACACUUUGUACUGAUGCAGCCACUGGGCAGACAUAGCUGCACAACUUCAAGCGAAGCCCAAUUACCUGCUGAUUACCUUCAGCAAGCAGCCUUCAUCUGGACAUACAGUAAAAAGAGGAACAUCCAUUUGUCAAGGGAUGGGAAGAUACAGGCUGUGACAUUCUCCCUUCUGCUCCUCUCCGUCACCACCACUUUUCUGCUCAGUGUAUUCAACAACAUGGUGGGAAGAAAUGUUUGGAUUUCUGAUGUUUUACGGUCAGAGAUUGGUUCUCGAAGGCAAAUAAAAGUCUUUUUUGCUUGGUACAUCAGCUCCUUUUAAACAUCCCUCCAGUAUUUGGAAACUGGCAUAUACAUGUGUUCUGGUCUCUGGUUUUGC
rnacentral:lncRNA from 1 species